rfam:Cavia porcellus supercont2_9 genomic scaffold, whole genome shotgun sequence.
AGGGAUUUAGCUCAGUGGCAUAAGCACCUGCCUUGCAAGCAGGUGGUCAUGAGUUCAGUUCCUG